GCGAGUAUGGCCCUCACGGGUCUAAUCCACCAUAAACACCUUUGCGAACCAGUCAGGGGGACUCGGCCGUGAAAGCCCAGGCGAUUAGCGGAAGGGCCCUCCCUUGCAAACCCGUUUAGAAGUCUUGAAAGUACUUUUGUAUAAUCUAGUA
rnacentral:misc_RNA from 1 species